rnacentral:rRNA from 1 species
GUGCCAGCAGCCGCGGUAAUACGGAAGAUGCGAGCGUUAUCCGGAUUUAUUGGGUUUAAAGGGAGCGUAGGCGGCUGUUAACGGCGGUCAAAUGUCAGUGCCCAACACUGGCCUGCCGUUGGAACUGGCGGUCUUGAGUGCGCGCGAGGAAGGCGGAAUUCGUCGUGUAGCGGUGAAAUGCUUAGAUACGACGAGGAACUCCGAUUGCGAAGGCAGCCUUCUAGGGCGUUACUGACGCUGAGGCUCGAAAGCGCGGGUAUCAAACAGGAUUAGAUACCCUGGUAGUCCGCGCCGUAAACGAUGGACACCCGCUCCCGGCGGCAGACGGUCGGGGGCCAAGCGAAAGCGUUAAGUGUCCCACCUGGGGAGUACGCCGGCAACGGUGAAACUCAAAGGAAUUGACGGGGGCCCGCACAAGCGGAGGAACAUGUGGUUUAAUUCGAUGAUACGCGAGGAACCUUACCCGGGCUUGAAUUGCUGAGGACGGUGGGCAGAGACGCCCGUCUCCCUUCGGGGCCUCAGUGAAGGUGCUGCAUGGUUGUCGUCAGCUCGUGCCGUGAGGUGUCGGCUUAAGUGCCAUAACGAGCGCAACCCCUGUCCCCAGUUGCCAUCUUUAGGUUGGGCACUCUGGGGAGACUGCCAUCGCAAGAUGUGAGGAGGGUGGGGAUGACGUCAAAUCAGCACGGCCCUUACGUCCGGGGCUACACACGUGUUACAAUGGGGGGCACAGCGAGUUGGGUCGCGGCGACGCGUCCCGGAUCAAGAAAUCCCCUCUCAGUUCGGACUGGAGUCUGCAACCCGACUCCACGAAGCUGGAUUCGCUAGUAAUCGCGCAUCAGCCAUGGCGCGGUGAAUACGUUCCCGGGCCUUGUACACACCGCCCGU